GAGUUUGAUCCUGGCUCAGAUUGAACGCUGGCGGCAUGCCUUACACAUGCAAGUCGAACGGUUAACAGGUCUUCGGAUGCUGACGAGUGGCGAACGGGUGAGUAAUACAUCGGAACGUGCCCGAUCGUGGGGGAUAACGGAGCGAAAGCUUUGCUAAUACCGCAUACGAUCUACGGAUGAAAGCAGGGGACCGCAAGGCCUUGCGCGGACGGAGCGGCCGAUGGCAGGAUUAGGUAGUUGGUGGGAUAAAAGCUUACCAAGCCGACGAUCUGUAGCUGGUCUGAGAGGACGACCAGCCACACUGGGACUGAGACACGGCCCAGACUCCUACGGGAGGCAGCAGUGGGGAAUUUGGACAAUGGGCGAAAGCCUGAUCCAGCCAUGCCGCGUGCAGGAUGUAAGGCCUCGG
rnacentral:rRNA from 1 species